CAGUAGCCACGGGAAUACAGAGGGUGCGAGCGUUAAUCGGAUUUACUGGGCGUAAAGCGUGCGUAGGCGGCUAAUUGAGUCGGAUGUGAAAUCCCCGAGCUUAACUUGGGAAUUGCAUUCGAUACUGGUUAGCUAGAGUGUGGGAGAGGAUGGUAGAAUUCCAGGUGUAGCGGUGAAAUGCGUAGAGAUCUGGAGGAAUACCGAUGGCGAAGGCAGCCAUCUGGCCUAACACUGACGCUGAGGUACGAAAGCAUGGGGAGCAAACAGGAUUAGAUACCCGCGUAGUCCCUGUCUCUUAUAC
rnacentral:rRNA from 1 species